CAGUAUUCAUUAACAAUAAAAUGCCUAGGAGUAUAGACUGUACAAAAUAUCAAAGAUGAACCACACUGAUCAUCAGAUAUAUGAUCAGAUUGUGUAUUUGUCAUCACCUUUCCUUUUUACUUUUUUUUUUUAAAAUAUAAUCCUUAACUUCCCUCUCUCCAAGUGGUGUAUAUUUAUUCGGUUAAAAAUCCCUCCCCGUCCUCAAAGCCUAUGAUGAAGAGAAACUUUUCAAGACAAAUGGAGAAAGACAGUUGGCAGAGAAAUACUUCCUAAGAUAAGUGGAGUAGAGGACCACAUGAUUGGGCUGGAUCUCAAUUUUUCUUUUUGUUCACUUUAAAUUGUAAAGUGCAUAUCUUGCAGGACUACAACCACUCCAAAGUGAUGAAAUGAUCCCGACAAAAAUGACCACGAUCGGCAAGGCCAUUUCACCACUUCAGCGUCAUUGUCACCC
rnacentral:lncRNA from 1 species